rnacentral:rRNA from 1 species
AAAACUUUCAACAACGGAUCUCUUGGUUCUGGCAUCGAUGAAGAACGCAGCGAAAUGCGAUAAGUAAUGUGAAUUGCAGAAUUCAGUGAAUCAUCGAAUCUUUGAACGCACAUUGCGCCCGGCAGUAAUCUGCCGGGCAUGCCUGUCCGAGCGUCAUUUCAACCCUCGAACCUCCGUUUCCUCAGGGAAGCUCAGGGUCGGUGUUGGGGCGCUACGGCGAGUCUUCGCGACCCUCCGUAGGCCCUGAAAUACAGUGGCGGUCCCGCCGCGGUUGCCUUCUGCGUAGUAAGUCUCUUUUGCAAGCUCGCAUUGGGUCCCGGCGGAGGCCUGCCGUCAAACCACCUAUAACUCCAGAUGGUUUGACCUCGGAUCAGGUAGGGUUACCCGCUGAACUUAAGCAUAUCAAUAAGCGGAGGAAAAGAAACCAACAGGGAUUGCCUCAGUAACGGCGAGUGAAGCGGCAACAGCUCAAAUUUGAAAUCUGGCGGCCUCUGGGCCGUCCGAGUUGUAAUUUGAAGAGGAUGCUUUUGGCGAGGCGCCUUCCGAGUGCCCUGGAACGGGACGCCACAGAGGGUGAGAGCCCCGUAUGGUUGGACGCCGAGCCUCUGUAAAGCUCCUUCGACGAGUCGAGUAGUUUGGGAAUGCUGCUCAAAAUGGGAGGUAAACCCCUUCUAAAGCUAAAUACUGGCCAGAGACCGAUAGCGCACAAGUAGAGUGAUCGAAAGAUGAAAAGCACUUUGAAAAGAGAGUUAAACAGCACGUGAAAUUGUUGAAAGGGAAGCGCUUGCGACCAGACUUGUGCCCGUCGAAUCAGCCGCCGCUCGUCGGCGGCGCACUUCGGCGGGCUCAGGCCAGCAUCAGUUCGCUGCAGGGGGAGAAAGGCGAUGGGAAUGUGGCUCUUCGGAGUGUUAUAGCCCGCCGCGCAAUACCCCUCGGCGGACUGAGGACCGCGCAUCUGCAAGGAUGCUGGCGUAAUGGUCGUCAGCGACCCGUCUUGAAACACGGACCAAGGAGUCGUCCUAAUAUGCGAGUGUUCGGGUGUAAAACCCCUGCGCGUAAUGAAAGUGAACGGAGGUGAGAGCUUCGGCGCAUCAUCGACCGAUCCUGAUGUUCUCGGAUGGAUUUGAGUAAGAGCAUAUUGGGCCGGACCCGAAAGAAGGUGAACUAUGCCUGUAUAGGGUAAAGCCAGAGGAAACUCUGGUGGAGGCUCGCAGCGGUUCUGACGUGCAAAUCGAUCGUCAAAUAUGGGCAUGGG